CUAAAAACAAAUUCAGAAUCCCUAAGAUUAGCAAAAAAUUUAUGAGGUACCAGAAGAAGAGAUGCUUCUACAAUUCUUCCUUGAUGAUAGCCUACGACCAGUGUAUCUCUGGUGGCUCAGAUGUUUAGGAAGAAUGUCUUGGAUCCUGAUGCUCACCAAGGAACACUCUCUGUGCUAUGGGACUGUUGCUAUUUAAUUUGUUUAUCUCAUUCCUAAGCCAGGGUAAGUGAAAUCCAUAACUUAGGAAGAUUUCCUUCCUGAAUAAGCUAUUCUUAUAAAACUGUAAAAUCAACACUUCACUGAAUGUCCAGG
rnacentral:lncRNA from 1 species